UACGUAGGCAGCGAGCGUUGUUCGGAGUUACUGGGCGUAAAGCGUGCGUAGGCGGUUGUCUAAGUUUGGUGUGAAAUCUCCUGCUUAACUGGGAGGGUGCGCCGAAAACUGGGUGACUGGAGUGUCGGAGAGGUAAGCGGAAUUCCUGGUGUAGCGGUGAAAUGCGCAGAUAUCAGGAGGAACACCGGUGGCGAAGGCGGCUUGCUGGGCCAGUUCGUGACGCUGAGGAGCGAAAGCGUGGGGAGCGAACAGG
rnacentral:rRNA from 1 species